rnacentral:misc_RNA from 1 species
UAUGAAGAACGUAGUGAAAUGCGAUAAGUAAUGUGAAUUGCAGAAUUCAGUGAAUCAUCGAAUCUUUGAACGCACCUUGCGCCCUUUGGCCAUUCCGAAGGGCAUGCCUGUUUGAGUAUCAUGAACACCUCAACUCUCAUGGCUUGCCAUGAUGAGCUUGGACUUUGGGGGUCUUGCUGGCCUGUGGUCGGCUCCUCUCAAAUGAAUCAGCUUGCCAGUGUUUGGUGGCAUCACAAGUGUGAUAACUAUCUGCGCUCGUGGUUUCCAUCAGAUAACCUCCAGUGAUGGAGGUUCGCUGGAGCUCAUAAAUGUCUCUCCUAAGCGAGGACAGCUCUUUUAAUGUUUGAUCUCAAAUCAGGUAGGACUACCCGCUGAACUUAAGCAUAUCAAUAAGCGGAGGA